rnacentral:rRNA from 1 species
GAUGAACGCUAGCGGCAGGCUUAACACAUGCAAGUCGAGGGGUAGAGGAAGCUUGCUUCCUUGAGACCGGCGCACGGGUGCGUAACGCGUAUGCAAUCUACCUUUUACAGGGGAAUAGCCCAGAGAAAUUUGGAUUAAUGCCCCAUAGUAUAAUUUAUUCGCAUGAGUAGAUUAUUAAAGUUCCAACGGUAAAAGAUGAGCAUGCGUCCCAUUAGCUAGAUGGUAAGGUAACGGCUUACCAUGGCGACGAUGGGUAGGGGUCCUGAGAGGGAGAUCCCCCACACUGGUACUGAGACACGGACCAGACUCCUACGGGAGGCAGCAGUGAGGAAUAUUGGUCAAUGGACGCAAGUCUGAACCAGCCAUGCCGCGUGCAGGAUGACGGUCCUAUGGAUUGUAAACUGCUUUUGUACGAGAAGAAACACUCCUACGUGUAGGAGCUUGACGGUAUCGUAAGAAUAAGGAUCGGCUAACUCCGUG